GCGUUCCUAGCUCAGUGGGAGAGCGUUAGACUGAAGAUCUAAAGGUCCCGAGAUCGAUACUCGGGGAACGCA